GAUGAACGCUGGCGGCGUGCCUAAUACAUGCAAGUAGAACGCUGAAGCUUGGUGCUUGCACCGAGCGGAUGAGUUGCGAACGGGUGAGUAACGCGUAGGUAACCUGCCUCUUAGCGGGGGAUAACUAUUGGAAACGAUAGCUAAUACCGCAUAAAAGUCGAUAUCGCAUGAUAUUGAUGUGAAAGGUGCAAAUGCAUCACUAAGAGAUGGACCUGCGUUGUAUUAGCUAGUUGGUGAGGUAACGGCUCACCAAGGCGACGAUACAUAGCCGACCUGAGAGGGUGAUCGGCCACACUGGGACUGAGACACGGCCCAGACUCCUACGGGAGGCAGCAGUAGGGAAUCUUCGGCAAUGGGGGCAACCCUGACCGAGCAACGCCGCGUGAGUGAAGAAGGUUGUCGGAUCGUAAAGCUCUGUUGUAAGAGAAGAACGAGUGUGAGAGUGGAAAGUUCACACUGUGACGGUAACUUAACAGAAAGGGACGGCUAACUACGUG
rnacentral:rRNA from 1 species